rnacentral:lncRNA from 1 species
AAUUACAAGGAAUCUCGUUUCACAUAUAAAAGCUUAAAUGUCCGUUGAUAAGGGCAGAAUGGCUUCGUAAUAGCAGAUUAUACAGCUUAUAUGUAAUUGGGGUCGUAAUAAAAUUACGUUACUUUAACUUUAAAGGCCCCCUUUCACGCGCCAACAUGUUUGCGCACACUGGUUUGUACAAACUAUUUUGCGCAAACAAUUUGUGCGUUAAAGAGGAAACAUCUUAUUUGUACAUACGACAAUGUUGGGUUUGAACUAAUCUGUCGAGUUUUGAAUUUUUGUUUGAGGUUUGUGCAUUGAUAUGAGCGUGAAAAGACAAAUCAAACCGAUUUCUGCAUGUUUUAAGCCCAGUGCCUGCGCAUUGACACUAGGUGGGUUCGGAAUUGCAUCUGUCAUAUUUUCACUCCUGCUCAUUAUCAGGAGUGAAUGGAGGACAGAUAAACCUGAUUUUUGACGUUAAUCAGCUGUGUCAAGACUAUCUAUUCUUUUUUAAUUCGUGUGCAUGAAAUAUUUCUAUCCAUUUUAGUUCAGAGUUUUCGGAGUGCUGUGCCAUGCCGAACCUAGCAACUAUUUGCACGUAGUGCUCAGUUAUCUGCGGCCUGUCAGUUAACGCUCAUGUUUAAUAGUGUGUGAAACUUUAUUUGUUCUGCUCUACAAUGUCAAAGAAAGAAAAACAGUUUUUAAGUGAGUUUAUUGAGUUGUACAGAUCAUUCCCGUGUCUCUGGAAGAUAAAAUCCAAGCAGUACAGUGAUCGUAAUGCGAAACAACAGGCUUAUGAAAGUAUGAUUGAAAAAAUGCGGGAGUUCGAUGUAGGAGCAAACAAAGAAACUGUAGAAAAAAAAAUUAACUCUUUAAGAACCGCGUACAGGAGAGAAUUAAAAAAAGUUAUUGAUUCGGAGAGGUCUGGUGUUGGUGAAGAAGACGUGUACAUUCCUCAUUUGUGGUAUUUUGAUUUGCCUAACUUUAUACGAAAUCAAGAAAUUCCACGAAAGACGCAAACCAAUGUUGAAGAUGAAGAUGAAGAAUCAGAACUUCAUCAAUUUACGGCUGAGCGUGAUGAAGCAACUAGUGAAUCAGCAUUAUCAUCUCACCAAGGGAGUCGCCAAGUAUUUCUCCACACUCUUUGACGUUGGGACCAUCCACAUCCACACGCUCAUCCACUCAGACAACUAGAACCAUAAAACGGCAGCUGGAUAAAUGCGAUGAUAUAUUACAUGUGAUUGAAAAACGUUUUAGAGCCAUGGCGCCGUUAAAGACAAAUUUACAUUAAUAGCCAAAACAUGGGCGGUGAAGUUAAAGGAACUUGUUCCACUUCAAGCGGUUUAUGCCGAAAAAUUAAUUAAUGAUAUUUUUUUUCGAGGCCCACUUAGAAAAGUUGACUCCUAACUCUGCUUUUCAAACCACUUAUCAACCUGCAAAUCGGUUACAGAAUCAAACAUAUUUUCAAAACAUAGAGCCUUAUCGGCACCAGACUCUACAACCACAGACACUUCAGCACCAUACACAACCGUACAAUCAACCAUCUCACGGACAACAAUGGCCAGUGUCAAUACAGCCAACUUAUUCGCAACUACAGCAAAAACAAGCAUAUCUACACAUGCCGGCAGAAGUCAAUCUCACUUCAUGUCUACCCCAUUCACCAGAGCAAACAAACAUAAAAGAUCAGUUUCAACAAAAACAACAACACUUGACAAAAGAACCCCUACUGCAGAAUGAACCCAGCAAUCAAAAAAAGGGUGAGAGCUCAGUGUCAACAUACUUUCAACAUUUUAAAGAUGUUUAACUUUUGUUGUUCUUUUUUUCUUAUGGAAAGUGUUUUUUAAGAAAAUUUUAUUUCUUUGUUUUUUUUUUGAUAAAGGAACAUAGUUUUUGACAUUUCCUGUAUUAUUAUAAGAGAAAUAUAUUUUAUUUGUUAAAUGAUAUUUACGUACCUUUAAAUAUUCGCCUCGUAAUGCAAUGUUUAUAGCCUCACAGGUUUUGAGAAUAAUUUGACUUGGUGACAUGCCAAAAUUUAAGAUCUUCGUAGGAUCUCCCGGUAGCUAAAAAUCGCAAUGUAGCCGUUCAUGUGGUGUAAUUACACGUUUCAUGACAGUAUCUUUCUUUAUAAUGAUUGGCGUAACUAAACUUAACAAUUGAAGAUAAGUUUCUUCAUCCAUUCGCAAAUAGUUACGAAAAUCUUCGGGUUCAUUUCUUAAUUCUCGUAUUAAAGAAGUAUGAGCCAGAAAAGGUCUUUUUUCUAGCCACGAUUUAGUUGGUCUUCUUUUCUUCUUCUGCAAGAUAAGUUUCUUUUUAAUAAUAAAAACAGCAGCAAGUCCUAGUAGCAGUAGUUCUUCCUCUUUAUCAAUAUCCAUUUUUUCUUUGUUUUAAUUCCAUAAACACAGGAGACUUUUUCGCAACGGUUAACAAGACGUGGACCGAAUGGACUAAAAUAUUUGAGCGUCAAAAUGCAAACAUCGACUCCAACAUGUUUGCGCAAAACAGUUUGUAUAAACAUGUUGGCGCGUGAAAGGGGGCCUUAACAUGGGGAUUAUAUAUGUAUAUCUAUCUAUUUUUUUAUGUAUCUCUAUCAUACAUCUGUUAUUAAAUUUAUUACUACAAAUAUCUUUUUUACUGAUUUUAUGGAUAUUAGGCUGAGUAUCGAAAAAUAAACAUUUAUUUAGAAAUA